UUAUAGAUUUAGAACCUCAGGAGGAAAAUGUUUCUCUCUCUGUUUAUCUCCAACAGGAGGAAAAUAAGUGCAGAAGAAGCAGCAGAACCAGAGCUGAAGUGAGCAGUUACCGAGUCUCAACUCGAGCAGGAUGUACACAACCGAUACACGGGAAAUGACACCGAGUGCACCAGAGGCGCAAGAUUUCAGUGGAAAAAAAACGUUGAGGCUCGACAUUGUUUUGUGUUUCAGAUGGCUGUUUACAUGUUAAACAUGUUGCACUGUGUAAAUAUUGGACAUGAAUGUGUGUAAUGUAUGUUGCAGAGUGAAACUCUGACUCUAACACUGCAGGUGUUUUCUUUAGAUAGAAAGAUAGGACUUGAGAAGCGAUUUAAAAUAGUUCUGUACAAAGAAAUGAUUGUAUUUGACUGGUUUGUGUGUGACUUUUGUAAACAGCUGGAAACAGAUAGUCCGCUAAAUUCCACUAAGAGCGUAAUGUCUCCCUCUUGUGGUCAUUGAGCAAAAUCAAUCUACAUUAAAAUAAUGUUUUAAUGUG